GACGAACGCUGGCGGCGUGCCUAAUACAUGCAAGUAGAACGCUGAAGAGAGGAGCUUGCUCUUCUUGGAUGAGUUGCGAACGGGUGAGUAACGCGUAGGUAACCUGCCUUGUAGCGGGGGAUAACUAUUGGAAACGAUAGCUAAUACCGCAUAACAAUGGAUGACACAUGUCAUUUAUUUGAAAGGGGCAAUUGCUCCACUACAAGAUGGACCUGCGUUGUAUUAGCUAGUAGGUGAGGUAACGGCUCACCUAGGCGACGAUACAUAGCCGACCUGAGAGGGUGAUCGGCCACACUGGGACGGAGACACGGCCCAGACUCCUACGGGAGGCAGCAGUAGGGAAUCUUCGGCAAUGGGGGCAACCCUGACCGAGCAACGCCGCGUGAGUGAAGAAGGGUUUCGGAUCGUAAAGCUCUGUUGUAAGUCAAGAACGAGUGUGAGAGUGGAAAGUUCACACUGUGACGGUAGCUUACCAGAAAGGGACGGCUAACUACGUG
rnacentral:rRNA from 1 species